AUUAUCAUUAUUUUUAGGUGUAAGAAGAAGCAGGAACAUUCCUCCUCUGUGUCUUGCUUAGCCUUCCUUUUCCAGCAGUCGGGAAGGCCUGUGGUUUCCAGGCUAAGCACCUGCAUUUGUUAGUGUGUGUGUACGGGGGUGUUCAUUGUGGCUGAGAGACAGACAAGAAAGACUGUGGAGCAGUAACUGCACAUGGCACCUGGGUCGCUGAGGACCCUGCAGGGCCUCCCUGUUCCCCCUGGCACCGCCUUUGACAGAUGCUCUAGUGACCAUGUGGGGAGCUGGCUUGCUGAUAGGACCCCCACCCAAGGCAGUGCCCCAGGGUCCCACCUGCCCCCUGGGAAGUGACCUGUGGCCCGUUGCCUUUUCUGUAGGCCGCAUCCGAAACACUCCAGAGACCGACGAGUCCCUGAUCGACCCCAACAUCUUGUCUCUCAACAUCCUCUCUUCCGGAUACAUCCACCCAGCCCAAGAUGACCGGACCUUUUACCAAUUUGAGGCUGCGUGGGACAGCUCCAUGCACAACUCUCUCCUGCUGAACCGGGUCACCCCUUAUCGAGAGAAAAUCUACAUGACACUCUCC
rnacentral:sRNA from 1 species